CAGGGAUUACCUCAGUAACGGCGAGUGAAGCGGUAACAGCUCAAAUUUGAAAGCUAGCUCUUUUAGGGUUCGCAUUGUAAUUUGUAGAAGAUGCUUCGGGUGUGGCCCCGGUCUAAGUUCCUUGGAACAGGACGUCAUAGAGGGUGAGAAUCCCGUAUGUGACUGGGUGCUUUCGCUCAUGUGAAGCUCUUUCGACGAGUCGAGUUGUUUGGGAAUGCAGCUCAAAAUGGGUGGUAAAUUUCAUCUAAAGCUAAAUAUUGGCCAGAGACCGAUAGCGCACAAGUAGAGUGAUCGAAAGAUGAAAAGCACUUUGGAAAGAGAGUUAAACAGUACGUGAAAUUGUUGAAAGGGAAGCGCUUGCAACCAGACUUGCGCGCUGAUGAUCAUCCGGGCUUCUGUCCGGUGCACUCGUCUGCGCUCAGGCCAGCAUCGGUUUCGGUGGUGGGAUAAAGGCCUUGGGAAUGUAGCUCCUCUCGGGGAGUGUUAUAGCCCUCGGUGCAAUGCCGCCUAUCGGGACCGAGGACCGCGCUUCGGCUAGGAUGCUGGCGUAAUGGUUGUAAGCGACCCGUCUUGAAACACGGACCAAGGAGUCUAACAUCUAUGCGAGUGUUUGGGUGUCAAACCCAUACGCGUAAUGAAAGUGAACGGAGGUGAGAACCCUUAAGGGUGCAUCAUCGACCGGUCCUGAUGUCUUCGGAUGGAUCUGAGUAAGAGCAUAGCUGUUGGGACCCGAAAGAUGGUGAACUAUGCGUGAAUAGGGUGAAGCCAGAGGAAACUCUGGUGGAGGCUCGCAGCGGUUCUGACGUGCAAAUCGAUCGUCAAAUUUGCGUAUAGGGG
rnacentral:rRNA from 1 species